UGCCAGAAAGCUCAGUUGGUAGAGCACCUGACUAGAGAUUCAGGGGGCCCAGGUUCAAAUCCCGGUUUGGUCC
rfam:Crassostrea gigas strain 05x7-T-G4-1.051#20 contig4920, whole genome shotgun sequence.